CCACAACAACAGUAGCUCCAACCACAACCACAGCUGCUCCAACCACAACCACAGCUGUUCCAACCACAUCCAUCAUUUAUUCAACAGCAACAACUACCGUUGGCACAACUGAAAUGACAGUUGUCCGUCGGAUGACCUUUAGGUCUCCUGAUGAUACCUUUACCAUCGGUCUUGAAAUCAGUUCUUCGGCUGCUUUCAACGAACGGUCCCAACUUUUGUGGGAUCGUCUUUAUGCCCUCUACACAAAAGCAUUUUCAUCAUUCUUGAAUUUGACAAUCGUGUCAUUCAGAAAGGGAUCAGUUAUCAACACGCUGGACCUCGAAUUUCAAGCAUCUGGUCUUCCUAGUGAUCAAGCUAUCGAAAAUGUUUUAAUCAAUGAGGCACCAAAGAUAAAUGAAUUUUCAGUGCAAGCGUCAACGGUUUGCAUUGGAAAAUGUGUUCCUCCGACGACGACACUUCCUCCAACCACAACAUCAGCUGCUCCAACCACAACAACAGCAUCUCCAACCACAACAACAGCUCCAACCACCACCACAGCAGUG